rnacentral:lncRNA from 1 species
AGCACAACACUGGACCACUGCACCGAACCUGAACAAGUAAGUCUUAAUAUUUUCUCUCAAUUUUGAAUUGACUCUACAGUCUUCUAUUGACAACUAAAGUUAUUCUCUCUUGCUAAGAGGUGUAUCUCCUUCUCAUACUUUUCUUCGAAUUUCAAAAGAGAGAAAAAUUGUUUUUGUUCUUGGACUGUUCAAAGUAGGCUAUAGGAGAAUUCAUGUACAAUAUAGAUAUGCUACAAUUGAACAGUCUGAUCCAAAUCAUGCUUCUUAUUCACAAUAAGGGAAUUAUCCGAUAGAUUCAAAUUACUUUCAUUUAUGGCCAUGGUAUUAAACAAAAGUUAAUUUAUUGAAUUUUAUAUAUUCUAUUUUUUAGUGACUUAGAAUAGCUAUUUUUCUUUCUUCCUUUCAAUUGAUUAACAUUUUUAGGCCAUGCCGGGACUUUUUAAAGCUAAAUGUAAGGUCCAAUGAAUGCCUUUCUCAUUUUCGAAGGCCGUACGAUGACCUGUUGUGGUUCAAAUAUCUGUUCUCUAGUCUAUGAGUAAUUGUUUCACGGGUUGCCAUACAUUUCAUUGUUUUAUAGAAAUAGGAGGUGUCGAACAAAUAAAAAGGUUUGAAAGAAAAUUUCAAUACAUUGAUUUAUUAAGCUGUUUCCAAGAUUACUGAAAUAUUGUUUAAAUUUCAGUUGUUAUCUUAUAGUUCGUUUAUGUGUGUGUUGCAUUGUCUUUUUUGUUGCAUUUCAGCCUUUUUGUUGUUUUGUUGUUUUACUUUUAUAGUUGAUGUGUUUCCCUCGGUUUAGUUUGUUACCCGGAUUUGUUUUCUCUCAAUCGAUUUAUGACUUUCAAACAACGGUAUACUAAUGUUGCCUCUAUUUGGCUCAUAACUUUUAUCGAGAUAUACAUUGAUAAAAUAAACUACAUUUUUUGUUUAUAAAUCUCUGAUGGUAUAUUUUGCUUACUUAGACGUUAUUUUUACAUUAUCCCGUAUUAUUUGUUUAAUGUGGAAAAAAGUGUUCAUGUACAUAUUUUAAACGUUUAUGGGCUUGUUCUCAUACAAAAUAAAACAUUUCACGAAAACUCUAAUUAAGUUAAUGAUCAAUUUAAUCUUAUCCACGAUCAAUGGGGCAUGUCCGGUAAAGGCAAAUGUUGGCCUAAAAUUUGAACUACAUCUGAUAAUUUUUUUGUUUGCAAUUUUCGAAAGACUUAAAAAUGUCUACUGUCCAUUUAAAUUAAUUAUAAAUUGCUGAAAAACAAAAUUAUAAUAUCAUAAAAAUCUAUGAAAUAUAUAACAUAAAACGUCAUUGUUAAGAUGUAUUACUUUGAUCUUAAAUGUAAGUGACCGCAGUCGUGUCUAGUCUCAACCUUUAUAUAUGUUAGGCUUCAUCCAAUACAUACUAUAUUUGAAUAUAAAGAUUAAACACAAUGCGGCCACUUCCAUUUUAGAAAAAAAACUCUACACAUUAACACAAAUGCUUAAAUUUUGAAGAUUUGGGUACUAAUACAUGAAUUAAUGAUACCUUCCAAUUACAAGGGGUUCUAUCAGUCGUAUGCCUUUUACUCAUAAGAUAUUUUGUAACAAGAUGUAUUAAUUAGCAAACGCAUGAACAAAUAAAAGUCGACAGUGUUUGUAGAACCCUUACACAUUUUUUUUUAACAUAUAUCUCGAAAACAAGAACUCAAAAUUAUUUUUGGCUUUUUUCGUUUCUUAAUUUAUGUACUAUCGAUAUAUUAUAGCCUUUUUGAAAGCUGUUAUUUUGAAACAGAUUAGCGAACAUCCUUACAUUUGUAAUACAUGAUUUAUAUAGUUUUGUUUUGUCUACGACAGAAUGAAGAUCGCUAUUUGCGUAUUGAUUGCCAUCUGUAGCUCUGUAAGCGCUCUCUCGAAAGGGGGAUACGGAGGCGGAUACGGAAUCGGAUACGGAGGCGGUAGACGUGGAUACGGUGGAGGUGGAUAUGGAGGAUAUGGAGGAUAUGGAGGAUUCGGUGGUGGUUUAGGAGGAUUCGGUGGUGGUUUGGGAGGAUUCGGAGGCGGUUUAGGAGGUGGUUUAGGAGGAUACGGUGGUGGUUACGGGCGAGGAAGAUACGUAGGAUACGGACAAGUCUUUGUUGUAAGAGGGGGAGGAUAUGGUGGUUACGGAGGGGCACUUGGUGGCGGACUUGGUGGUUAUGGAGGAUAUGGUGGUUAUCUUGGAGGUGGUCUUGGAGGAGGAAUCGGAGGAGGUAUCGGUGGUUAUGGAGGAUAUGGUGGUUUCGGACGAGGAAUUGGUGGCAUUGGAGGAGGUAUCGGAGGAUAUGGAGGUUAUGGUGGUUCCGGUGGUUAUAAAUAUGGAAAGGGCAAAGGUAAUAUUAAAAGUCACUAUUUUAGAGAUAAUUGUAUUGCAUUUUAAGCUCCGAAGGCAAUAAAGCACCAAUUGAUGCUUCUUAUGAAACUGACAGAAACCAAAGCGAAUUCAAAAAUUUAAAAUCUGCCAUACGUCGUCUGCGCUUACGUGUAAAGUUUUAAUAACAUCGAAAGUGAGCUGGUGACAUGAAAAUUAGUGACGUUAUUUAAUCAAAAAGAACGUUACAAACGAUGCUGCAGUAGAAUAGAUAAUUGGUAUAAUUGCUCAUAAAAAGGCUUCGUUUCUUUUGUCUGUUUGGUUACUUCAGAUAUGUUGACAUGAUAUUCUCAAAUCUCUUCCUUCAUUGCGUCUUACUGAUCAUAAUUGCAACAAGAAUAAUUUAGAGGAAAAUUGUAAAUUUAGGAGAUAACCAUAUUAUAUUUUAAGCUCCGACUGCAUUAAUUUGUGAUUUGAUGGUCACAGAUAAGUUUACUGGAGACGCCUUAUCGGAGCCAGUAAACGGGUACCAUCAAAUCACCAAUUGAGGCAAUAGUAGCUUUAAUACAAUAUUGUUAUCUCCUUUCUUAUGAAAUGCUUGAAAACAACACCAAGUCUUACAUUUAAAAUCUGUAAUACGUUGUCUGCGCUGGCGUGCUAAUUUCCAUAGCACCAACUGUGCCAUGAACAUCGGUGACGUUAUCCAAUCCAAUUGAACGUUACAAACAAUGUUGCAUUAGUUUAAGAAAUUGAUGUCGUCAAUAUUCAACAAAAUAAACGUAAAAUUCAUGCGCAAAGGUUAUUUUCUGAAGAAUUCGAUAACUUGUUUCUACUUCAACGGAAUUUCUAUAGCAAAAAAAUCCAGAUCGAGACUUAAUAUCACAGGACCAAAACAAAUAACAUGCGUUUCAAUUAGAAACUGCAAUUGGUAUCUAUUAUACAAAAAUUAAGACUGUUUCCGAAACAAAUUGCAGGUUUAAUCCAUGUUUAUAAAACUUUGCUUUUAAAUUCAUAUUCUUUUUUCUUCUUGAAAAUUAGUAGUUUUGAUACAUUGUCAGAAACUUGAUGUCUAAAGAAGUCGAUUUUUUUGUAUUAAACUUAUUAAUCAUUUCGCACAAAACCACGGAACAUCCUCUCUUUGAAAGGACACCGUCUGUUGGUAAUUCAUCCUAAUACUAGUCAAAAUAUAACAAAAUUGGAUAUUUAUCAUUAAAGAUAUAACGUAAUCAUACAAAAGUCUUCGCCCACAUGACAUUCUCACAAAACAAUAAAAAUUAAAAGACACUAAGAAGAUUGCGAUGUGGUAUGAUUGGCAAUGAGGCAACUCUACAUCAGUGACCAAAUGAUAUAUAUAGAAGUUAUCAACUAUAUGUCACCAUACGGCAUUCUGCAAUAAACAAAAUUCCUACCAAUGUUAACACAAUAUAUUUUUUUUCUUCAGGAUAUUAAAAGCAGAUUCUCAUCCAAAACAAACUGAUAUUACCCAAAACGGACAACGAAGGAUUUGAUUUUACAUUUCUGUUAUAAUAUAUAAUCGUUGCAUUCA